rnacentral:rRNA from 1 species
UACGUAGGGUGCAGGCGUUAAUCGGAAUUACUGGGCGUAAAGCGUGCGUAGACGGUUAUUUAAGUCAGGUGUGAAAGCCCCGGGCUCAACCUGGGAAUUGCAUUUGAGACUGAAUAGCUAGGGUGCGGAAGAGGGAAGCGGAAUUUCCGGUGUAGCGGUGAAAUGCGUAGAUAUCGGAAGGAACACCAGUGGCGAAAGCGGCUUCCUGGUCCAGCACCGACGUUCAGGCACGAAAGCGUGGGGAGCAAACAGG